rnacentral:rRNA from 1 species
UACAGAGGUCUCAAGCGUUGUUCGGAUUCAUUGGGCGUAAAGGGUGCGUAGGUGGCGGGGUAAGUCAGGUGUGAAAUUUCGGAGCUCAACUCCGAAACUGCAUUUGAUACUGCCUUGCUUGAGGACUGGAGAGGAGACUGGAAUUCACGGUGUAGCAGUGAAAUGCGUAGAUAUCGUGAGGAAGACCAGUGGCGAAAGCGGCUUCCUGGUCCAGCACCGACGUUCAGGCACGAAAGCGUGGGGAGCAAACAGG